GGGCGUAAGCGCACGCAGGCGGUUUGUUAAGCUAGAUGUGAAAGCCCCGGGCUCAACCUGGGACGGUCAUUUAGAACUGGCAGACUAGAGUCUUGGAGAGGGGAGUGGAAUUCCAGGUGUAGCGGUGAAAUGCGUAGAUAUCUGGAGGAACAUCAGUGGCGAAGGCGACUCCCUGGCCAAAGACUGACGCUCAUGUGCGAAAGUGUGGGUAGCGAACAGGAUUAGAUACCCUGGUAGUCCACACCGUAAACGCUGUCUACUAGCUGUUUGUGGCUUUAAGCCGUGAGUAGCGAAGCUAACGCGAUAAGUAGACCGCCUGGGGAGUACGGCCGCAAGGUUAAAACUCAAAUGAAUUGACGGGGGCCCGCACAAGCGGUGGAGCAUGUGGUUUAAUUCGAUGCAACGCGAAGAACCUUACCUACACUUGACAUGUUGAGAAGUUACCA
rnacentral:rRNA from 1 species